rnacentral:lncRNA from 1 species
UGUUGAAAAGACAGUCAAACACUCAGAGUCUUCUUCAUGGAUGGUCCUUUUUUCUAUUGGUAUUUUGAAAAAAUAAAUUGAGUGGUAUGGAAAAGGGGAUGGAUUCUGAUUCUUCAUGCAUGGCUGCAACCCACUUCUCAUGCACGAGAACCAUCCUUCAUUUUGGAAGGACAGAGAGAAUCUACGCACAGUGUUACUCCAUGCAAUAAACCUUUCUUAUGUAUUGAGCAAUGCUUCUUGCACUCACCAUGACCCUGGUGUCCACCUUGUUUUUGCAAGAAAGACAAAUGGUAGGCAUGGGUUCCACAUUAGGGGCAGUCCAAAGAGCUAAAAUAUGUUUAAAGGACAGUCAAACACUCAAGAGUCUUUUUCAUGGAGGGUCCUUUUUUUUCAAUUGGUAUUUUGAAAAAAUAAAUUUAGUGGUACGAAAAGGGCAUGGAUUCUGAUUCUUCAUGCAUGGCUGCGACCCACUUCUCAAGCACGAGAACCAUCCUUGCCCGUGGAAGGACAGAGAGAAUCUAUGCACAAUGUUACUACAUGCAAUAAACCUUUCUUAUGUAUUGAGCAUUAUUAUUGUUCUAUGUAAUUUGUAACUCCAAUAUAUCAAGAACUCC